GGACUACCCUGCUAACACACGACGUAACAGUUACGUAACGUACUGGUAAUUUUUGGUAAUUCCAUGACUUACCAAUUGACAACGUAACUACGACGUCGCAUUCCCGUAAUUUUAUUACCAUCACAUUACCAACUCACAACGUCGUCAGUACGUCCUUCCAACGUGACCAGAUAACCAAGAACGUCCCAGAUAGGUCCUCUAUUGGUAAUAUAUUGGUAACUUCAUGACUUACUGGCAACGUAACUACAACGUCGUAUGCACGUAAUAUCAUUACCAUAUUUUUUGUACGUUCUUUAUAUGCUCUCUGAUUAUAGAGCUAUUUAAAAAGUGUGAUUUAAACGUCAGACACAAGAUUAAACGUUCCUUAAAGAUAAAAUAUGUUUAUUUUCAACAAGUCAGAAUAUGGACAUGCUUUUAAGCUUUUAAUGACGUGACAUACAGGCGCGCGCUUCCACAACUGACGCACCGCGCGCACAGUAUUGACAAGAAAAGAGUUGUGAAACUUUUUAUCUCGUAUGGAGUUAUAACGUGAAAUAAUGACACAGACAUGGCUCAUCAUCUCAUCUGCAGCAGAGACUGUUGUAUCAGAAGGACAGCGCGUUUGUUUGAGGCACUUUUCACUUCAACUGUGUCUGACAGGAGAAUUUAGCUUUCUGAGCCGUUGAGUUACCAUGGCAACCGCGUACACAUCAGCUGCUGGAGAGGAGAGGAGAGGUCUCGUCUGACAUUUUCUCUGUUUCUCGUCAGUUAUACCAAAGAAAAGUGAUUUCAGGAGUGUCUUAAAAACCCUCUAAAACAGAGGGGAAGUUCCAAGAAAGUGUCUAAUGGGAGCUGCUGACAGAGAUAGAAAACACAGGAGCUGGAGGCCGUGAAGAAACAGAUCCAUGAUAUCGUGGAGAAGCAGGCCCAGAUGAGCAAGUGGAGAGCUAUGCUGGAAAUAUUCAUGGGUUGAUGCUCAUAAGUCCAGGGUAAGUAUACAGCUAACCCUCCUACCACCUCUACUCUGUGUGGUUCCCGGUGUAUCCAGGAUGCGAUCUUCCCAGAUGUCCUUCACCCUAUUUCACAGUGUGAGACAUGAACCAGGCCCUGGGCGACGACCUCUCUCCAUCCGCCGCCUCCGGUCUUCAGGAUCUCCACCAGAACCCGAUUCGCUCCACUUCGUGAGACCGAACACAACGUUGUGAUCAUCGGAGACUCCAUCGUC